rnacentral:rRNA from 1 species
GAACGGGAUCUUCGGAUUNAGUGGCGGACGGGUGAGUAACGCGUGAGAAUCUGCCUUCAGGUCUGGGACAACCACUGGAAACGGUGGCUAAUACCGGAUGUGCCGCAAGGUGAAAGGUUAACUGCCUGAAGAUGAGCUCGCGUCUGAUUAGCUAGUUGGAAGUGUAACGGACUCCCAAGGCGACGAUCAGUAGCUGGUCUGAGAGGACGAUCAGCCACACUGGGACUGAGACACGGCCCAGACUCCUACGGGAGGCAGCAGUGGGGAAUUUUCCGCAAUGGGCGAAAGCCUGACGGAGCAAUACCGCGUGAGGGAGGAAGGCUCUUGGGUCGUAAACCUCUUUUCUCAGGGAAGAACACAAUGACGGUACCUGAGGAAUAAGCAUCGGCUAACUCCGUGCCAGCAGCCGCGGUAAUACGGAGGAUGCAAGCGUUAUCCGGAAUGAUUGGGCGUAAAGCGUCCGCAGGUGGCAAUGUAAGUCUGCUGUUAAAGAGUCUAGCUCAACUAGAUAAGAGCAGUGGAAACUACAUAGCUAGAGUACGUUCGGGGCAGAGGGAAUUCCUGGUGUAGCGGUGAAAUGCGUAGAGAUCAGGAAGAACACCGGUGGCGAAGGCGCUCUGCUAGGCCGUAACUGACACUGAGGGACGAAAGCUAGGGGAGCGAAUGGGAUUAGAUACCCCAGUAGUCCUAGCCGUAAACGAUGGAUACUAGGCGUGGCUUGUAUCGACCCGAGCCGUGCCGUAGCUAACGCGUUAAGUAUCCCGCCUGGGGAGUACGCCGGCAACGG